AUGACGACACAAGAGUAGCCACAAGGGCUGACGAAUGGUGGCCGGGAUGAUGGCGGAGAGCGCGACUGUGUCCUUCCCUUCCGGUGGAGAGGGGCAUCGGGUGCUCAUGGUUUUAUGAGAGGCAGUCAGCUACAAGGCAUUUCAUCGCAAGACAAACAAAUCUGAGGACAUGGGGUGAGGAACUGGUGGGUGCGGUAGCUAUUGCCACAGGAAAGAGAUGUUAGCUUGCCAGAUGAAGCAUUUUUCGAGAUGGAGAGAACUGGAUCAGAUAUAGACAGGGAUACUCAGCUCGAGCGGCCUAAAGUAUUUGCUUCCCCGAACCCGAGCAUGAUGACUUGAAGGGAACAGAUUAAUUCUUUUCUCUCAGAAGAAAUUUCUCACAAGUCUUUCAAGUUUGAGAGAUCCAAUAUGCAUACCCUUGUAUAGCGAAAGACUUCAGAGUUCCAAGAAGGCGAUCACUCCUACAUGGGCGGGAUCACUCUAAAGGAGCUUCUCAGAUUAGAUAUAUCCUCUCUGUAUAAUAUUGUUUUUUUUUGUACCCUUUCCGUUUACAAAUAAAUUAUAGACCAUUUGCAGGCUUUGAAGGCAUCUUUCAACACUUCUGCUGAAAGCGAUCUUUCCUAAUCGACCAUACACUUUAUGCAGAGUCAUAAUCAGUAAUUCAUGUCUUGUUUCUGUGGUCAACACCCCUGCGAGUCAUGUCAUCACAUGAGUGGCUUGCUGUCAAUUGGCAUUGACGAUAUGGUAAUUGUAUGCAUGACAUUUUUUUUAAUAGAAAAUUAACUAUUACUUAUU